UUAGCCCUGAAAAUGGAUGGCGCUGAAGCGGGCAGCCGACACCACGCCGUCUGGGCGAGUGAUUUUUGCCUCAGAUGAGGUAGGAGGACGUGGCGGUCGUAUAGAAGCGUAUGCGCAAGCGUGCGUGGAACGGCCGCCAGUGCAGAUCUUGGUGUUAGUAGCAAAUAUUCAAACGAGAACCUUGAAGGGCGAAGCGGGGAAGGGUUCCACGCGUACAUUGAUUGGGUGUGGGUAAGUCGUUCCUAAGCCGCGUGGCAAUAGCUAAUACAAAUGGCGAAAGGGAAGCAGGUUGACAUUCCUGCACACGGAUGUGGAGGCGGUGACGCACUUUCUGGGGUAAUGAAGCUGGCUGUGGCACUGGGCAGAGUUGUCUUUUCUGUUUAACCGCUCUCUCACUGUGUGGAAUCCGCUUGUCGGGAGAAACACGUGUUGACGGGCAUAGCGCCGGAGCUUUCCCGGCGUCCAGUUCGCUACGGACGGACCUUGAAAAAUUACCUGCUGGCACAGUCGGUUUUGAAAUUUUUUUUAGAACGCAGAUCUGUGUAUGAAAAAUCCACGCCGUAACGUACCGAUAACCGCAUCAGGUCCCCAAGGUGAACAGCCUCUGCUCGAUAUGAUCAAUGCAGGUAAGGGAAGUCGGCAAAAUAGACCCGUAACUUUGGGAAAAGGGUUGGCUCUAGUGCUGUGUGGGACUGGUUGUUGAGGUGUCCGAGCUGCUCCUGUUGACUCUGCUGCGGAGCUGGCAAAGCUGGAGAAUUUGAAAAAGUUUUUCGGUGGCGCUCGCACUGAAGUGGGGCCUGACGGUCGAACGGUCUUGGCCCGCGACGACGCCCACGGCAUGCAGCAAACUAGAACUGCAACGGGCAAAGGGAAUCCGACUGUUAAUUAAAACAAA
rnacentral:rRNA from 1 species